UGAAUAGGUAAGCUAAGUUUUAAGCUUUUGGGCUCAUAACCCAACAAUGGAUUCAUCUCCCCUAUUUA
rnacentral:tRNA from 1 species